AGACAAAUUAGGAAUCGUCAGUGAUCAAGAGGUCUGAGGUUCCAGAACGAGGCUAUCCAUUGCACUUUGGUGUGCUGACCCCUGGGAUGUCCCCAAAUGCGGGAUACUUGACUGCAUACUUUGUGGUAGUGGAGGACUGCGUUCACGCUCUCCCCUG